UACGGGGGGAGCAAGCGUUGUUCGGAUUUACUGGGCGUAAAGGGCGCGUAGGCGGCCUCUGCAAGUCGACUGUGAAAUCUCCGGGCUUAACCCGGAACGGUCAGCCGAUACUGCAGGGCUAGAGUGCAGAAGGGGCAACUGGAAUUCUCGGUGGAGUGGUGAAAUGCGUAGAGAUCCGGAGGAACACCAGAGGCGAAGGCGGCCUACUGGGCUGCACCUGACGCUGAGCCGCGAAAGCCAGGGGAGCGAACGGG
rnacentral:rRNA from 1 species